rnacentral:misc_RNA from 1 species
CCCAGUGGCUCCCUGAGUUGAACCGCCACUCAGGGGGUAUCAGGGGGUAAGUGCACGAACCGCCCGCAUUCUCCAUCGAGAACAGCACAAAUCGCGAUUGAGCUAUCCAGACCAUGAGCUUCAAACGCAGAGAAGACUACAAUCUCUUAAUCUUAGAUCCAUGCUCAUAAUACUAGCAGUUUGCUGGAGCUGGAAUAGCUGAAUCGUGUAUGUGUAGAAUAAUGUGUAAUUAUGUGCACGAAUGUAUGUGAAUGAGAUAUAAGGAUACAGUCGACAUAGCUAUGUACAGUUCCCGUAGUUCGCAGAAAAGAGAUAAGAGGACAGAUGAAUACUGUUCGUGGCGUAAUGAAGAUAUUAAUUAUCAAUUUAAUUUCAAAAAUUUAUCAUUGGAGGAUCUAAUCAUUAAUGACGAUGCCAAAGACCUGAUACAUCUACGUUUGUGUUCUCCCUUAGAAACUGAUUGUAACGGGCAAUAUGGAUAUAGUAUUUGUCUUUCAAAGAAUAAUACCAAAAUAGGCUUGGGAAAAGCGCCACCUGAAGUAAAUGUGACUAAAGGGAUAAAGUUUAAAUUCUUUGGAGAUCGUUGUAACGCGAAUACUAACUAUACUGUACAGAUUAUAAUGCAGUGUAAUUCUUCAGCAGUUCAUGAAACUGUCCCUCAUAUGUUUCAAAAAAGUGAGAAUCAUUGCGAGUGGUACAUGAUUUGGUAUACAAAAGCAGCUUGUGGUAACAUCAUAAAAUCAAAUUGUACAGCAAAAGAUGAUUCUGGUCGCAGUUUUAAUCUAAGCCCAUUAACCAGAAUCUCUGACAAUUAUAUUAUAGAUGUGGGCAACACAUCUAGCAAAAAGAUUAUACUAAAUAUUUGUCAUUCAUUAAUAUUUGGAGAUAAUACUAAAUGCCAUCCAAACUCUGGUGCAUGUCUGCAAAAAUCCAAAACCAACAAUGACACAUGGUACGAAAACCUAGGCAAUGUAGAUUCAUCCAGUGUCCCAGUCUUUAAAGAUGGUCAGUUACAACUUCAGUAUUUUGAUGAGAAAACUCUAGAUAAUACUUAUAUCACCCUGUAUUUUGUGUGCGACCCUAGCGCUAAUAAUACUGAUCCUGCAUAUAUGAAUGAAAGCGGUCCCUUUCAUUACAAAUUAAGUUGGAGAACAAAUGCAGCUUGUGUUCCUGACUUAUGUACUGCAACAAAUCCAGUGACAAAUUUUCAGCAUAACUUACAAACAUUAAUGAGUAGAGCAUUUACUAUUAAAGCACUGAAUGGGUCAGAAUAUAAGAUAGCAAUUUGCAGACCCCUUCUCGGUAAUCCGUGCAAAUCAGGAACUGGUGUUUGUUUUUCUAAAAAUGGAACGUCCUUUGGACAGUCUAAUACAAAUUUAACAUGGCAAAAAAAGGGCCCUUUCUUAAAUUAUACCAAUGGUGAUAUAUGUAAUAAUCAUGGACAAAGACGUUAUACACUGAUUUCAUUUUUCUGUGGAUCUGAAAGCUCCUAUAAUGGGCCGCGUAUUAUAAAAGAAGAUAAAUGUAGUUUAAUCAUUCAUUGGGAUACAAGUUUGGUUUGCGAAAAAUCUAUAAAGUGUUCAACAGAAAAUAAUGAAGUAAAUCUAACAAGUUUAAUUCGUAUUGAUCAUAAUUACGUAGUUAAGUCUAAGGAUGUUGAUUUUUAUAUAAAUAUCUGCCGGCCUCUUUUACCUAUGAACAAUGUAAAUUGCCCGCAAGGUGCUGCAAUUUGUCAAGCGAGACGUAAUCCGACAGGGCAACUUAUCAAUUUCACCAGUUUAGGAUUUCCUAAUGAGCCUCCACAUCUUGGGAGUGAUGGACAACCACUCCUAAGGUAUCAAAGCAAUGUACUAUGUCCAGAAAAUCCAAAGAAACUGAUUUCGACAAAUAUUACGUUUCUUCGUAGUCCUUACACUGAAACUAAAAUAGAAUAUAAAGAUUAUGGGGAUUGUACUUACAAGUUUGAUGUGAGAACAAGUGUCGUUUCUGAAGUACCAACAACAUCCAUUGAACCGUGUACAUUGGAAAUACCACUUACAUCAGACAAGUUUUUUCUUUUCCCAUUGCCGAAUGAAUCAGUACACUAUGUGAAAGGAAGGAAUGGGAAAUUAUAUGAGGUAAGCAUUUGUGGUAGUCGCCAUUGCAACGGUUCAGUAGUCUGUGAAGGAAAUAAUGGCUACGGAUCAAAAACUGAUGUAUUAUUUGAUCAUAGAAGAAAUGUUGUAACCCUUAAGUACAGUAAUGGCACCAAAUGUACAAAUAAUUCUUAUGAUUCACUUAACUCUGAAAUAAAAUUAAAAUGCAACAUGACGGCUGGAGUCAACGCACCUCAAAUCAAGUCGGAAACUGAUUGCAGGGUUGAAUUCGAGUGGCAAACGAGCGUAGUUUGUUCAAAUUUGACCACUCGCGAAACGAUCACCAUUGCAAGCGAUCCGAUUGACCCGACAAAUGAAGUUCAAGGCGGAAGCAGUAUUGCAGGCCCAAUUGCAAUCUUGGUGCUGGUCAUCCUGAUUGCUUGUUUCUGUUUAUACAGUCCAGCAAGAAGAGCGCGUUUACGUUCCUACUUAAAAUGCUGCAAUUCGGAUACACCGAGUGGACGAGCUCAGUAUUAUCGGGUCAGCACCAAUGAAGAAUCUUGUUCAUUACUGGACUCUUCUGAUCCAACGCAUUGUCAAAGUGACAGCGACGAGGAUUUAUUGUGUGCAUAAUUUUCCCUGAUUUCGCAAAACCGUAAAGGUCGUGGUCGGAAGUGAGGUGCUCUAGAAGAAAUCUCAACAUUCCGGGAAUAAUUAAACAUUAUCAUCGCCGAAUAAUUCUAUUUUUAUAAACGAAAUAAGCAAGUCAAGAUUCCAGAGCUCUCAGUCUUGUGCACUAACAUUAAUUGCGAAUGUUCCAGGUUGUUUUUAAUACAAGAUAUUGAUGUAACAAUUGUACAAAUUAGAGAGAAAUCUAUCCGCGAUACGGUACUAAAUAAUUAUCCACUACGUGGAUAUCCAUGGUACCGGGAAUGGAGAUUAAAGAGUUGAUAAUCUUAAAAUUA